rnacentral:rRNA from 1 species
CGGGGUGCACCAGGCGCGAAAACUUUACAAUGCGGGAAACCGUGAUAAGGGGACACCGAGUGCCAGCAUCAUAUGCUGGCUGUCCAGGUGUGUAAAAUACACCUGUCAGCAAGGGCCGGGCAAGACCGGUGCCAGCCGCCGCGGUAACACCGGCGGCCCGAGUGGUGAUCGUGAUUAUUGGGUCUAAAGGGUCCGUAGCCGGUUUGGUCAGUCCUCCGGGAAAUCUGACGGCUCAACCGUUAGGCUUUCGGGGGAUACUGCCAGGCUUGGAACCGGGAGAGGUAAGAGGUACUACAGGGGUAGGAGUGAAAUCUUGUAAUCCCUGUGAGACCACCUGUGGCGAAGGCGUCUUACCAGAACGGGUUCGACGGUGAGGGACGAAAGCUGGGGGCACGAACCGGAUUAGAUACCCGGGUAGUCCCAGCCGUAAACGAUGCUCGCUAGGUGUCAGGCAUGGCGCGACCGUGUCUGGUGCCGCAGGGAAGCCGUGAAGCGAGCCACCUGGGAAGUACGGCCGCAAGGCUGAAACUUAAAGGAAUUGGCG